AAUGGAAAGCAGCUAUUUCCUGCUUUCAAAAAGCAGCUUUUUAUCACAGCAACACGGGUAAACAGUAACCUUUAAUGAAAAUUUUCAAAUGGCGAUCCUACCUCACCCCACUCCUCGCGUCUCACUUCUCUUCCUUGUUCUGGCAUCUCAGUUCUCUCCCUCUCGUCUUCACUCAUUCACUCCCAGCAGCCGCCAAACUGAAACUUCUUCCUUCCUCCCAGCGAUCUCUCUCGUUCUCCAGGUCACGUUCUCCGGCUCGACGUCCUUCCUCUGAUUCCGGAGCCCCUUACUGGGAAAGUUUGGAAAUUGGAAGAUUUUGAAUCACAUCCUGCUUUACUGGUGAGUUCUUGCUUUGUGUUUUUCUUCAAUGGUGUUUUGGAUGGUUAUUGUUUGUUUGAUUUUCUUAUUAUCUGUCAUAUUAUAUGUCAUGUAUUGGAUAUUGGCAAUUAGUUAGAGUGGAUUUUUAGAUUAAUUAACAUGAAUGGUGGGUUCUUAAAUAACAACUGCAACUGCAAAUGACAUGACAAUUGCUAUUUUAGUGGAAAUCAGAGGACGUUAAAACGUAAUGGUUGUUCUUGUAAUGUCGAAUUGUUUAGAAUAAGCUGCAGAGCUACCUACAAUUUGUUCAUUGAUUUAGUCAAUGACCCUAAUGAAAUAAGGUAGGUUCCUUAGAUUUAUAAGGCCUAUCGUCUGUCAUAUCAUAGGGCAUAAGUUUCUAAGAGCUGCACAGCAGAUUGGGCAGAGGGGAAGGUAAGGUUGUGGGUCUGCGUGAUUAAGAUGACUCGUGCCAGCUUGAUUCUGGUGGUGAUGUUGAUUUGCAUGACCACAAGGCUUCAAAGUUGCUGCAUUAUAAUUCUGCUUCUGGAAUUUUAUGCUUCUACUUUUAUUGGGCUUAAGUGCGGGUUGAUAUAUUUGAAUUUUUAAGUUGGCUUCUGUAGAGAUUAGAAGGUUGCUUAACUAUCCAAAAAGGAAAAUAGAGCAUAUAAGUGGCUGUGGAUAGCCUAUUUCUGGGUUGGUAGGCUUCACAUUGACCAGUAUAAUUCUCUCUACAUGCAAGUUGGUGGGUACUGUCUUGUUUCAUCACUCUUGCAAGGACUGAUUUCUUACUCUCACUUUGGCCAAUUUCAAAAGUCCAAUGUGGAUUCUGGAUCUUCUGGUUUCAAGAAUGUUCUAGUAGAUGCUUGGCUGAGGCCCUUUUGAUGCCUUAUUGUACAUUUUCGAUCUUUUGCUUAUAAAACAGUAGCUUACAUCCCUGUAUCCUAUGGUCUGGAGUCUAACUGAACUAAUGAGUCCCUGUAGAGUUUUGUGCAUUUGUACUGAUGUUUAGCUUGUGUGUCAUUCCCUUAAUGGGCAUCAUUUAAGCUUGUGUGUCAUUUCCUCAGGGAUAGAUCAACAACGUUUAUGCCUCAAAUAAAACAAUGUCACAUAUAUAUUUGUGUGUGUGGAUACAUAACAAUGCCAUGCCCUGCUUUAUUUCUUAUUAAAUGAACAUUUUGUCUUAUUAAGUUAGCCAUGGCCCUUAUAAACAAUCCAAGCUCCUGCUGUUUGAUGGUUCUGUGAAUUGCUGUCAUUUGUUCUUGUUUUAAUAUAUAUAUAUAUAUAUAUGUGUGUGUGUGUGUGUGUGUGUGUGUGUGUGUGUGUGUGUGUGUGUGUGUGUGUAUGCAAAUCAGUAGUUGGUAUCGAAGGCAAAGAAGGGGGCAUCUUCAUCAAAUCCUUCAGCUACAUGGAAUGCCUACAAUAUAUCUAUAUUUUGUGAUAUUUGCAUCAAGGAGGUUGAGGCCGGAAAUCCUCUAAGCACUCACUUUAACAAAGAAGGAUAUGCAAAUAUUAGAGCUAACUUUAAGGCAGAGACAGGGCAUGAUUAUGAAACUGAAAAAUAAGUGGGAUGCACUUAAAAAUGAGUGGAAGUUGUGGAAAGAGUGAGUUGGUAAAGAAACUGGCCUAGGGUGGAAUUCGAGCAAUGGUACCUUUGAUGCCUCUGAGGAGUGGUGGAAUAAUAAACUUCAGAUAAACAAAGAAUAUGGAAAAUUGCAAAAAAAUGGCAUUAGUCCUAAGAUGGAGGACAAGUUAGAUAGGAUGUUCUCGAAUAUAGUUGCUACUGGUGAACAUGUUUGGGCACCUUCAUAACUACAUACGGAGGUAUUCUGAAUGUGAUCGUCAUUUUGAUGACCUCAGGGACUAUUGUGAAGAGAGCGAUAGUAGUGAUGAUGCUGAUGACGAAUACCAAAAUUAUCAAGUUGAAGGAUCAAAUGAAAUAGAAGCAUUAAGAAAUAGAAUAGCGGCAAGUUUGAUGAAUGCAUCUAAUUAGACUACUUUCAAGUACAUUAACAAUAUUGUAUUAAUGAAUCCUAGCUAUUUAGUCUAAAAUAUUUCAAUUGAA